UACGUAGGGUGCAAGCGUUAAUCGGAAUUACUGGGCGUAAAGCGUGCGCAGGCGGUUUUGUAAGUCUGUCGUGAAAUCCCCGGGCUCAACCUGGGAAUUGCGAUGGAGACUGCAAGGCUAGAAUCUGGCAGAGGGGGGUAGAGUUCCACGUGUAGCAGUGAAAUGCGUAGAGAUGUGGAGGAACACCGAUGGCGAAGGCAGCCCCCUGGGUCAAGAUUGACGCUCAUGCACGAAAGCGUGGGGAGCAAACAGG
rnacentral:rRNA from 1 species